rnacentral:lncRNA from 1 species
GCCUGGCCCUUGCGGCCCGACCACGAGCCACCGCCUCCCGACCUUCCUCCGGGUCCACAUGGUCCCAUUAACCCCUUCCCGUCAUCACCCCAUCCCCCCGCUCCCCAGCUUCCCCAGAAUGCCGGCUCUCAGCGCUGCCUGGGUUCAGAGGUUCAGAGGCAGAGCCACGCAGGGACGUCGGUCUACUUGGCGUCGGGGACAUUGUCAAAGAUGAACUGACCCCUCACGAGGCAGGAUCAGAAGACUCGGGCGAGGGGACACCACAGAGCACCACCGCCUAAUCCUUGCCUCCCAUGUCACCCCAGCCCGUCUGGGCUCCCACCCACCCGGGCAUUUCAGGUGACCCUGCGGCCCGUGCGGAGGGUGGGGUGCAGCCCCGUGGGGCCCAGAGCGGGGCCGGGGUGCGUCAGGGUGGCGGGAUCCAUGUGCGUCCUCGAAGGAGCGUCUUGGGGGUUGUGUGAGGCGCGGACAGGGUCAGCAGGAAGGUUACAGGAGCCUUGGAGACGAUAAGGACGCAGCACCUCAUGUGGCCUCUGCAAGCUGUGCCGAGCUGUUCCCUGUCCCCCCUGCGAGCUGUCCCGAGCACUCCGUAUGUGUCAGUUCACGAUGCCCGUCACCCCCAGGAGGUGAGCACUGGUGUUACCCCCAGUUUACAGGCGAGGAGUUUGAGGCCCAGAGAACUGAACCUGGGAGGCCUGAGAACAAUCCAGAAGGGAAGCAAACACCUGAAAUGGGCCAUGGGCAGUGGGUGGGGCGGGGGACAAGGAAGAGGCGUGAGACACAAGGAACAUUCGGUCGCCAGCCAGGGACAGGAAGCUGGGCGUCCUGGGCUCCCGGUCGGGUCCCUGAGAGGCCGGUGACAGGACAGAUGAACGUUUCUGCAGGGGCUGGACAAUCUGGGGACCUUUGUGGGGCAUCCGGGCAGCUGCCCUGCAGAGGACUGGGCUUGCAGGUCUGGGGCCCAGGAGACCCAGGCCACCAAGGCAGGUGGGUCCUGUGGGGAUGGUGUGGACGGGAGGCAGGGCCAUGCCAGAGCCCACCGGGCGGCCCCACGGGAG